CUUCUUCUUCUUCUGCUUCUUCUUCCUUCCUUCCUUCCUUUUCUUCUUCUUCUACUUAUUCUUCUUCUUCUUCUUCUUCUUCUUCUUCUUCUUCUUCUUCUUCUUCUUUUCUUCUUCUUCCUUCUUUUCCUUUUUCCUCUUCUUAUCCUUGUUCUUCUUCCAUAUUUUCCUCUUUCCUCUUCUUUGUUCUUCCCCUCUCUCCUUGGG
rnacentral:lncRNA from 1 species